rnacentral:rRNA from 1 species
CAGCCGCCGCGGUAAUACGGAGGGAGCUAGCGUUGUUCGGAAUCACUGGGCGUAAAGCGCACGUAGGCGGCUAUUCAAGUCAGGGGUGAAAGCCCGGGGCUCAACCCCGGAACUGCCUUUGAAACUAGAUAGCUUGAAUCUUGGAGAGGCGAGUGGAAUUCCGAGUGUAGAGGUGAAAUUCGUAGAUAUUCGGAAGAACACCAGUGGCGAAGGCGACUCGCUGGACAAGUAUUGGCGCUGAGGUGCGAAAGCGUGGGGAGCAAACAGGAUUAGAUACCCCAGUAGUCCCUGUCUCUUAUAC